rnacentral:rRNA from 1 species
UGGGGAAUUUUGGACAAUGGGCGAAAGCCUGAUCCAGCAAUGCCGCGUGUGUGAAGAAGGCCUUCGGGUUGUAAAGCACCUUUGUCCGGAAAGAAAUCCUCUGGGUUAAUACCUCGGGGGGAGUGACGGUACCGGAAGAAUAAGCACCGGCUAACUACGUGCCAGCAGCCGCGGUAAUACGUAGGGUGCAAGCGUUAAUCGGAAUUACUGGGCGUAAAGCGUGCGCAGGCGGUUUUGUAAGACGGAUGUGAAAUCCCCGGGCUUAACCUGGGAACUGCAUUCGUGACUGCAAGGCUAGAGUAUGGCAAGAGGGGGGUAGAAUUCCACGUGUAGCAGUGAAAUGCGUAGAGAUGUGGAGGAAUACCGAUGGCGAAGGCAGCCCCUCGGCAAGUCACUGACGCUCAUGCACGAAAAGCGU